AUGCCGAGCUCGCCAUCGGCCUGGUCUGUGAUGCCGGAGUCGCCAGCUGCUUCGUCUGCUCUGCCGGUUUCGUCGGUGGGUCGGCCUUCUUCGCCAACCGAGUCCGAGGCUACCGUGACUGGCUCCUCGUCACCGGCUGACUCGUCAACGUCGCCGUCCUCCAGCCCGUUGCAGGCUGCUCCAUCGACCUCGGUGGUUCCUGUGUCCCGACCACAUACACGCAGUCGCAGUGGCAUUUUCAAACCUAAGGAACGUAAGGAUGGUACGGUUGCUUGGUUGGCUGCUUGUUUGGCUGCUGCUGUUGCGGAUCCAUCUUCUGAGCCUCGCUCAUAUCAGGCUGCCCUGCGCAUUCCACAUUGGCGAGAGGCUAUGGAGCAGGAGUUUCAUGCUCUUCUUCGUAACAAGACAUGGACUCUCGUUCCUCCACCACCACGGGUAAAUGUUAUUGACUCAAAAUGGGUAUUCAAAGUGAAGAAGCAUUCGGAUGGAUCUAUUGAGCGUUACAAAGCGCGACUUGUUGCUCGCGGUUUUCGGCAGCGUCAUGGUCUUGAUUAUGAGGACACCUUCAGUCCUGUCGUCAAGCCUACCACUAUUCGGCUUCUUCUCUUCAUUGAUGUUUCUCGUGGUUGGUCACUUCGUCAACUUGAUGUGCAGAAUGCUUUUCUACAUGGAUUUUUGGAGGAAGAGGUUUAUAUGAAACAGCCGCCUGGCUUCUCUGAUCCUGAUCGUCCUGACUAUAUCUGUCGUCUUUUCAAAGCACUAUAUGGUUUGAAGCAAGCUCCUCGUGCCUGGCAUGCCCGCCUUGCCUCUGCCCUUCGUGCUCAUGGGUUUGUGCCGUCUACUGCUGACACUUCGUUAUUUCUUCUACAGAAGCCAAAAGUCACUAUGUAUCUUUUGGUAUAUGUCGAUGAUAUUAUCCUUGUCAGCUCUUCUCAGUAUGCUGCUGAUGCUCUUGUCUGCUCUCUUGGUGCUGAUUUUGCGGUCAAAGAUCUUGGGAAGCUUCACUACUUUCUUGGAGUUGAGGUCACUUCUCGUGCUACUGGUCUUGUCCUUACGCAGAAGAAGUACUCCUUGGAGUUGUUACAGAGAGCUGGCAUGCUGAAGUGCAAACCGACCACCACACCCAUGUCAUCUACCGACAAGAUAACAGCUGUUGAUGGUGAGCUUUUGUCUCCUGCGGAUGCCACAGAGUACAGGAGCAUUGUUGGUGGACUUCAGUACUUGACGAUCACGAGACCAGAUAUCUCUUAUGCUGUUAAUAGGGUUUGUCAGUAUCUUCAGGCUCCCAGAGAUACUCAUUGGGCUGCUGUUAAACGCAUUCUUCGUUAUGUUCAGUUCACCCUGACAUUUGGUAUGCAUAUUCGGCCGACUUCCUCUCGGGUCCUUUCGGCCUUCUCUGAUGCAGAUUGGGCUGGUAGCCCAGAUGACAGGCGAUCCACGGGGGGUUAUGCAGUAUUCUUUGGCUCUAAUUUGAUCGCCUGGAGUGCUCGGAAACAGGCUACUGUGUCACGUAGCAGUACUGAAGCUGAGUACAAGGCUGUGGCUAAUGCUACUGCAGAGAUUAUUUGGGUACAGUCUUUGCUUCAGGAGUUGGGUUUGUCUCAACCACAGCCUCCUAUUCUUUGGUGUGAUAACAUCGGUGCUAUAUACCUUUCUGCAAAUCCAGUAUUUCAUGCCCGAAUGAAACACAUUGAAGUUGACUAUCACUUUGUACGGGAACGUGUAUCACAGAAGCAACUCCAGAUCAAGUUUAUCUCAUCUAAGGAUCAACUUGCAGACAUCUUCACUAAGCCUUUACCGCUGCCACAAUUUGAGGCUUGUAGGCGCAAUCUUACCCUUCUCAGUUCUUUAGAAAGUGGCUAA
rnacentral:rRNA from 1 species